GAUACCCUAGUAUAAAAGAUAAGAUUGAGGAUUAGUAUUUUAGGAAAUUAAUAAUUUUUGGUGGUUACUUGUUAAUUAGAGGAGCUUGUUUAUAGAAUUAACUCUUUAUAUUUUAUUAAUAAGUAAUUUAUUCAUCUCCGUUAAAAAUUAAAAUAGUUUAAGAUAAAUAUUUAUAAAAUUUCAGGUCAAGAUGUAAUUUUUAUUAAGGAAAGAUUAGCUAUAAUUAUGUAAUUAAUGGAAAAUUUUUUAUAAUAAAUUUAGGAUGAAAAAUUGGAAUUUAAUUUAAUUGUAAUAUUGAUUAGAAAAUUAAUAUGAAAAUUUAUACAACUAAUAUACAUAUUGCCCGUCACUUCUAUUUUUAUAGAAUAAGUCGUAACA
rnacentral:rRNA from 1 species